CUCGGUCCUUAAGGGGUUAAAACCUGAAAAAAUGUAAAAAUAUAUAUAUUUGUGUAAGGGGGAAAUAGCCGUAUAUGGAGUAAGGAUCCAGCAUAAGCGUAGGAUAGUAUAAAGGGAGCAAGUCGGUUGUGGUGUGCCGAGACCGACGAUACGGUAGGCCUGUAAAUAAAGAGGGCCUACCAAGGAGUAAGAAAGUAAAGUAAAUGGAAAGAAAAGAGAAAGUGUUGAAAUGAGG